UUUACAUUCGUCCAUUCGUAUUCGACAUAUUUAUAUUCAUUACAUAUAUUCGACAUAUAUUCGACAUAUUUUGAUUUGUUGUCAAAUUUCGAUCGUAUCCUCUUUCCAAUUCGAUAAUCGAAAUCACAACACGAAAUGUCAUUCUUCUCUCGAAACUCGUGGCGUUUAGACGUUUCGUUUCAGAUAAUUAGCUAUUAAAAUAACUGUCAAGGCGGGAAAAAAUUUUCAAUAUGGACGCUAUAAUAACCGUUUGACAAAAUGAUUGAUCGGAGAAAUAAUAACAUUUGAUUUCUCGUAUCAAAAAUCUCACGCAAUGCAGCCAAUAGAGUCAGUGUUUGUUUUGAAUAAUAUUUUAAAUAUUUUUUAAAACAUAAUAUUUCAAUUUCAAUUUAAUUACAUUGGCGAAAUUAGAAUCAGUAUUUGUUCAUCAAUUACAAUAUAAAUAGAUGGAUUGAUAGUUUUUUUAUUUUUAUUUUAUUUUAAAUAUUCGUUUUCGAUGGUAGAGUCAGUGUUUCAAAAGCGUAAGGAGAUCAAUCAUUACACGAAGAGUUGCCCAUUUUCUCUUAUUUGAUGAUGACUUCAUUUGUGAUUUCACAAUAAGGAUGAGUCAGCAUUAAUGGGAAUGCAAAUUCUUCUCGUCUAAUG